rnacentral:rRNA from 1 species
GACGAACGCUGGCGGCGUGCUUAACACAUGCAAGUCGAACGAGCGAAGAGGAGCUUGCUUCUCUGAGCGAGUGGCGAACGGGUGAGUAACGCGUGAGGAACCUGCCUCAAAGAGGGGGACAACAGUUGGAAACGACUGCUAAUACCGCAUAAGCCCACGGGUCGGCAUCGACCAGAGGGAAAAGGAGCAAUCCGCUUUGAGAUGGCCUCGCGUCCGAUUAGCUAGUUGGUGAGGUAACGGCCCACCAAGGCGACGAUCAGUAGCCGGCCUGAGAGGGUGAACGGCCACAUUGGGACUGAGACACGGCCCAAACUCCUACGGGAGGCAGCAGUGGGGAAUAUUGCACAAUGGGGGAAACCCUGAUGCAGCGACGCCGCGUGAGUGAAGAAGUAUUUCGGUAUGUAAAGCUCUAUCAGCAGGGAAGAAGAAAUGACGGUACCUGACUAAGAAGCCCCGACUAACUACGUG